UGUGUCGCGGUAUGUUUAUUAAGGUGUAUCGCGGUAUGUUUUAUGUAAGGUGUGUCGCGGUAUGUUUAUUAAGGUGUAUCGCGGUAUGUUUAUUUUCGCCCGCCUUUUGGUUUAUAUAAAAUGUAACGCUAGAAAUUCGUGUAUCGCGGUAUGUUCUUUAUGUAAGGUGUGUCGCGGUAUGCUUAUUAAGGUGUAUCGCGGUACGUUUAUUUUCGCCCGCCUUUUGACAUUUAGUUUAUAUACGAUGUAACGCUAGAAAUUCGUGUAUCGCGGUAUGUUUUAUGUAAGGUGUGUCGCGGUAUGUUUAUUAAGGUGUAUCGCGGUAUGUUUAUUUUCGCCCGCCUUUUGGUUUAUAUAAAAUGUAACGCUAGAAAUUCGUGUAUCGCGGUAUGUUCUUUAUGUAAGGUGUGUCGCGGUAUGCUUAUUAAGGUGUAUCGCGGUACGUUUAUUUUCGCCCGCCUUUUGACAUUUAGUUUAUAUACGAUGUAACGCUAGAAAUUCGUGUAUCGCGGUAUGUUCAUUUUCGCUCGCCUUUUGACAUUUAGGAACACGUCGAGGUCAGCGUAGUCAGAACCGUAAGUCACUGUCGCCCGAUCGAUUUUAGCCUCAGACCGGGUGACAGGACUUAUCCACCUUCGGGCGAGUAUAUAAUCGCAGCGGGGAGUGAGAACGGGGCCAGUGCCUGUACGCCGACCAGGCUGCAACGCUGGACCCGACCACAACCACGCUGCUGGUAAGCUGGCUCGAAGGUAGGUUCCGACUACGCAGGGAUGCUGUGCGGGCUCAAGGCACAUCCCAUAGAUAGGUAGGAGCAAGCGGGUGGAGGGUUAGGUUAGCAUGCGUGGCGUUAGGGUAUUGUUAGGGUAGACACUGCGUUCGCGGUAGGAAAUAGCUUCUAAAAUGAUAACGUUAAAUCAGCGCAGUCCGUUAUGAACACAUUGCGAAAUUAUGAACAAUAAAAGGGGCGUUAAAUUGA